rnacentral:snRNA from 1 species
GGAUGUGAGGGUGAUCUGGCUGCAACAUCUGUCAUCCCAUUGAUUACCAUGGUUGAUUCAGCUGAUAUGGCUGGCUAGGCAGGUGUCCCCUUCCUCCCUCACCACUCCAUGCGCAUUCCCUCCCAAAGCUGCAUGCUUGGUCAAAGAGGAAGACCUUCCCCAAAAAGGGGAGGACUGAUCUUUGGUCAAGGGUAUACAAGUAGCUGCACUCCCCUGCUAGAACCUCCAAACAAACUCACAAGAGAUGUUUCAGUGUGCUGGAGAGAUGUCUUAGUGGUUAAGUGCUUGCCUGUAAAG